CCUACGGGUGGCAGCAGUGGGGAAUAUUGCACAAUGGGGGAAACCCUGAUGCAGCAACGCCGCGUGAGUGAAGAAGUAUUUCGGUAUGGAAAGCCCUAUCUGCCGGGAAGAAGAGAGACGGUACCUGACUCAGAAGCCCCGGCUAACUACGUGCCAGCAGCCGCGGUAAUACGCAGGGGGCAAGCGUUAUCCGGAUUUACUGGGUGUAAAGGGAGCGUAGACGGCUGUGCAAGUCGGAAGUGAAAGCCCGGGGCUCAACCGCGGAACUGCGUUGGAAACUGUAUAGCUUGAGUACGAGAGAGGCAGGCGGAAUGCGUGGUGUAGCGGUGAAAUGCAUAGAUAUUGGGAGGAACACCAGUGGCGAAGGCGGCCUGCUGGACAGAAACUGACGUUGAGGCUCGAAAGCGUGGGGAGCGAACAGGAUUAGAUACCCUAGUAGUC
rnacentral:rRNA from 1 species